GAUGGAAUUGGACAACCCAAGCUUGCUGAGUUGUGUUCAGGACCCAGCUCUGUUGGUGACAAUUCCAAUGGUUGUUGAUGCUUCUUGUUUCUAGGAGUGUUCAGUGAAGAAGGCACAGGAGUAGAGAAUCUGGUGAUUAGUAUGUAGGUGGGAGAAAAAGACAACGGGUUCAACAGGGCAUGGCAUGAGAAUGGUGGUGUUGGCUCAUGACAUCCAGGCUGAGUUGAAAAAGAAGAAAGGCCUGGUAGACAAAAGGGUAAAAGAGAGAGUCCAAAGGACUGGAGUUUCAAGAGGUUAGAGGUUUAACAUCUGAGUGUAAGGGGAUGAGGGAGCCAGAGACAAGAAGCUGGGUUUACAGAGUGAGAUUCUGGAGGGCAAAAUUUCAGGGGUAAAGCAGAUCUCAUCAGGAAAGGGCCAGAGGCCUGGUAAACAGAGUGGGCUGGUUGG
rnacentral:lncRNA from 1 species